UACGUAGGGUGCGAGCGUUAAUCGGAAUUACUGGGCGUAAAGCGUGCGCAGGCGGUUCGACAAGUCCGAUGUGAAAGCCCCGGGCUCAACCUGGGAAUGGCAUUGGAAACUGGCGAGCUUGAGUGUGGCAGAGGGGGGUGGAACUCCGCGUGUAGCAGUGAAAUGCGUAGAGAUGCGGAGGAACACCGAUGGCGAAGGCAGCCCCCUGGGCUGACACUGACGCUCAGGCACGAAAGCGUGGGGAGCAAACAGG
rnacentral:rRNA from 1 species